rnacentral:rRNA from 1 species
ACAGAAUAUACAGGUGAUGGAUCUGUUUGCAUCAGUGGGCAUCCUGCUUCCAGAAAACAUACAGGGAAUUGGAAGGCCUCCUUCUUAAUCAUAGUCUGUUCACUCUGCUGUUAUCUUGCAUAUUCUCCCAUUGGAAAAAACCUUGUCAGCUAUCUCACAAAAGUCCUACAUGAAACAAAUUUGGAUGCUGCAAGACAUGUUGCAACUUGGCAAGGUACUAGCUAUCUCGCGCCUCUGGUUGGAGCCUUCGUUGCCGAUUCAUAUCUGGGAAAGUACCGGACAGUUUUGAAUCGCCUGCAUGAUUUUCAUCAUUCACUUCAAUUAAUCUCAGCCGGUCCUCACGCUUGGACUGUUUGGGUACAUCUAGUCUCUUCUCAGUACACCAUAUUCUUGGUUGGGUUGUACAUGGUGGGUUUAGGGUAUGGUGCACAGCGCCCUUGUGUCACGUCUUUUGGAGCCGAUCAAUUUGAUGACACCGAUUAUGUGGAGAAAACCAAAAAGAGCUCCUUCUUCAAUUGGCAUUAUUUUGCAAUCAAUGUUGGUUCAUUGAUUGCUGGGACUGUUAUUGUCUGGGUUCAAGAACAUGAAGGCUGGCUCUGGGGUUUUACAAUUUCAACACUGGUUGUGACUUUAGGUGUAUGUAUUUUUUUCUUAGGCUCCAUCAUGUAUAGAUUUCAGAAGCCUGGAGGAAGCCCUCUGACAAGACUAUGCCAGGUUGUCAUUGCAGCUACUCGGAACUUUGAUAAAGUUUUGCCAUGUGAUUCCUCAGCUCUUUAUGAGUUUAUGGGGCAAGGCUCGGCAAACGAAGGCAGCCGGAAAUUGGAGCAUACAACUGGACUUGAGUUCUUUGAUAAAGCUACAAUUGUAACAUUACCUGACUGUGAAUCUCCUGGCCAACAUAAUAAAUGGAAGAUUUGCACUGUCACUCAGGUAGAGGAGUUAAAGAUUCUGAUCAGGAUGUUUCCAAUUUGGUCGGCAAUGGUAUUGUUUGCUGCAGUUCAGGAACAGAUGUCUUCAACAUUUGUAGAGCAAGGGAUGGCAAUGGAUAAACACAUCGGGUCUUUCGAAAUACCUGCUGCAUCCUUCCAGUGUGUAGAUACAAUUACUGUCAUUGUACUGGUUCCAAUUUAUGGGAAACUCAUUGUUCCAGUAAUUAGAAAAUUUACUGGCAGAGCGAAUGGCAUUACGUCACCACAGCGAAUAGGGAUUGGUUUAUGUUUCUCGAUGUUCUCAAUGGUGUCAGCAGCAUUGGUGGAGGGUAACCGGCUACAGAUUGCACAGGCCGAAGGUUUGGUGCACCGCAAGGUGGCUGUUCCGAUGAGCAUCGUGUGGCAAGGACCCCAGUACUUCCUGCUAGGCGUCGCCUUGGUGUUCUCCAAUAUUGGGCUAACUGAGGUUUUCUAUGAUGAAUCUCCAGAUGGCAUGCAAAGCUUAUGUAUGGCAUUCUCGCUUGUUAACAUGUCGGUUGGAAAUUACCUUAGUUCAUUUAUCCUUUCCCUUGUGCCAGUAUUCACAGCCAGAGGAGGCAGCCCAGGGUGGAUACCUGAUAACUUGAAUGAAGGGCAUUUGGAUAGAUUCUACCUGAUGAUGGCUGGGCUGAGUUUUUUGAAUAUAGUAGUCUUUGUAUUAUGUGCUAUGAGGUACAAAUGUAAGAAGGCUUUCUGA